AUGGUCAGAUCACAUUGAAACAACAUUUCCUGUAUGAUCACUGAAGAUAAGCAAUAUUGAGCCUGGUCAGUACCUAGAUGAGUGACCACUUGGGAAUAUCAAGUGCU